GAUAAACGCUGGCGGCGUGCAUAACACAUUCAAGUCGAACGGGAAUCUUCUGACGGAGACUUCGGUCAAAGGAGGGAGAGGAUAGUGGCGGACGGGUGAGUAACGCGUGAGCAACCUGCCUUCAUGAGGGGGAUAACAGUCGGAAACGACUGCUAAUACCGCAUAACGUGUGUAGAUGGCAUCUGAAACACAUCAAAGGAGCAAUCCGCAUGAAGAUGGGCUCGCGUCUGAUUAGAUAGUUGGUGAGGUAACGGCUCACCAAGUCGACGAUCAGUAGCCGGACUGAGAGGUUGAACGGCCACAUUGGAACUGAGAUACGGUCCAGACUCCUACGGGAGGCAGCAGUGGGGAAGUAUUGGGCAAUGGGCGAAAGCCUGACCCAGCGACGCCGCGUGAGGGAAGAAGGUCUUCGGAUUGUAAACCUUUGUUGACAGGGAAGAAGAAAGUGACGGUACCUGUAAAGAAAGCCACGGCUAACUACGUGCCAGCAGCCG
rnacentral:rRNA from 1 species